CGGAGUAUGGCGCAGUUUGGUAGCGCACCUGAUUUGGGAUCAGGGGGCCGCAGGUUCAAAUCCUGUUACUCCGA
rnacentral:tRNA from 1 species